UACUCAUCAAUCUGGCACGUAUCUUCUUCUUCUUGUGUUUCUUUCUCUUCUUUCAUGGAUUCAUCUUCAGGCACUGCUAAUUCUUCUUCUUCUUCUUCUUCUUCUUCUGUGCACUCUGGAAGCUUUGGAUUUUGCUUGUAGAUUUUGAAGAUAAGAGGCGAUAAAGUUAAAAGUGAUGUGAGAAAGAUGGAUGAUGAGAACCCACAGCCUAGAAAAGCAGCAAGAACAAAACCAAGAACAGACAUCCAUGAUAAUGAGUUUUUGAAGAAAAAAGAAAGAGAAGGCAUUUGUUCUUGAUCAACUUUUUGUUGUUUUUAUAUGAUCAAUUUAUUCGCUAGAAAGGGUUUAUUGAAAUGCAAGAUCUAUGACAGAACAAUACAUUACAAAAAAAAAUUCUCAACUAAUAUUUCAAUAAGAUCUGUUACUAGGAAGCAAGAUUGAAGAAGAAAAAAUGCAGAAACUUGAAGAACAGCUAGUGAUUUUUGGUCUUGCUGGGACAUGAAACAAAGACAAAGAGCAAAGAAAUGGAAGAAUUUGCAUGUGAAAAUUGAAGAGAGAUUUAGAAUGAAAAAGAAGAAGCUUGAAAUGGGCAGUGAAUUUUGUUGUUGAUGUGUGGUUGGAGAUGGGAAAAUAAGCAGAUAAUAACUUAACUGGUUUGCAAUGAAGAAGCAUAUGUAAAACAUUUAAUAAAGCUUAUUUUAGUUUAAUUUUCUUCUUGCUCCUAAAAAACUGAGUUUUUCUUUCCCAUAUAACCCCUAUAAGAUGGUCUUCCUCUGCAAGUGAUUCUCUUGAAAAACCCAAAACCCUAGUUUUUUUCCCAAUUGAUUUACAGUCUCAGAGCCUGGAUAUUAGAGAAGCCAUGUGCACACAUCUGAGCUCACCACAUGGCACUAAUUUUCCUUCCAGUUCCACUAGAAAAAAACAUAAAUUAGAAAAAGAGAACAUGAGAUAAAUAUUAUAUUAAUUUUCUCCAUCAGCCAUUCUCAUUCUUCACCCCCCAAAACCCUAAAUCAAAGCUCAUUUCCAAUCUGCAGAAACCGAAACGCUUACAUUUUUUGAACCCUCAAACAAUAUCAUGUAACUGGCCAAAACCCAGAAGCCAUUUUCUUUUUUUUUUUUUUUUUUUCUGUUCUUCUCAACUUUUUCAUUGGCAAUAGAAAAGCCUGUAAUCAAAACUUUUCCACUUCUUAUAAGCUAUAACAAAACUCAUGUCAGAGUGUACUGUCAUACACAAAAGCCUAGAGAGGGAAAAGAGA
rnacentral:lncRNA from 1 species